GGGAGUUGGCGCACGUGGAGUGCAGCGCGACGGAGUGUCCUCCUAGGGCGAUGCCGAAGUCAUCACCACGCCGCCCUUUAAAAGCCAAAGCUUUUAAAGCUGAGGUUUUAACCC
rnacentral:misc_RNA from 1 species